UACGGAGGGUGCAAGCGUUAUCCGGAUUCACUGGGUUUAAAGGGCGCGUAGGCGGGCAUGCAAGUCCGGGGUGAAAGCUUUCGGCUUAACCGGAAAAGGGCCUUGGAUACUGCAUGUCUAGAGGGAGGUAGGGGUCUGUGGAACUUCGGGUGGAGCGGUGAAAUGCGUUGAUAUCCGAAGGAACGCCGGUGGCGAAAGCGACGGACUGGACCUCUUCUGACGCUGAGGCGCGAAAGCCAGGGGAGCAAACGGG
rnacentral:rRNA from 1 species